rnacentral:rRNA from 1 species
UACGUAGGGUCCGAGCGUUGUCCGGAAUUAUUGGGCGUAAAGGGCUCGUAGGCGGUUUGUCACGUCGGGAGUGAAAACUCAGGGCUCAACCCUGAGCGUGCUUCCGAUACGGGCAGACUAGAGGUAUGCAGGGGAGAACGGAAUUCCUGGUGUAGCGGUGAAAUGCGCAGAUAUCAGGAGGAACACCAGUGGCGAAGGCGGUGCUCUGGGCCGGAACUGACGCUGAGGAGCGAAAGCGUGGGGAGCAAACAGG